UCAAGACCUCGUGGACAACCUCACGGGCAUCUUGAAUAAAGUCCUUCCUGAGCUGGUGCAGGGCAAGGUGUGCCCUCUGGUCAACGACGUUCUCAAACUCUUGGAUGUCACCCUGGUGCAUGAUAUUAUUCGUAAGUGGUGCUUCCAAGCUCUCUCUCCCCCUCUGC
rnacentral:lncRNA from 1 species